CAGAGGCUUUCAGAGGAAGAGGAGCGCAAGAAGCUGAGAAAAACAUGUGAGAAACCAGGGUGUUUCAGAAUCAUCAACCACUCAAUUCCACUAACACUCAUGGCUGACAUGAAGUCAGUGGUUAAAUACUUGCAUGACCUUCCCACGGAAAUCAAAAUGCGCAACAAACCCUCCGUCCCUGAGAGUGGCUAUAGGGCGGCAAUGCCAACAAGUCCUCUAUACGAGGGCAUGGGAAUAUAUGACAUGCAUGCCUCACCACAAGCAUUUGAAGAUUUCUGCUCCAACUUGAAUGUGUCACCCCGUCACAGGUUCUUUAUGUUACUCUCAUUCAAUCCUUCUUUAUUUGGCUCCAACAAUAUAGAAUUUAUUUUUGUAUGCUUGAAAAUUGUUAUAUAUGAAAGUUAAUUAAUCACGUUUAAUUACAUAAAUUUUAAUUAAAAGUUAAUUUUCCUCCAAUUUAUAUCUUUUACUGGAACUUAGUAUUAGGAAUAAAAAAUAGUAUUAAAAUUAAAAUCUUAAUAAAUGAAGGUUGGUUUAUAGAUAGUAGCAUUAAAUGAGGUAAAAUUAGUUGAAAUUAUUUUAUAUUUGAAAUUAAAUGAUGUAAAAUUAGUUUAUUUUUUUUAUAUUUGAGGCCAAUAGUUUUCUUUUAUAUUUAAGAUCAAAGUAGCUUUUGUAUUUGUACGAGGGUAAAUAAGUAACUUUUUUCCUUUCUUAUGUUCUCUGAAUGAUCUUUCCUCUUCUCCAAAUGAUACUUGGCCAGCCAAGGAUGAGGUACCUAUAAAAGGUACUUCAAUGCUUAAGUAAUAAGAUCUCAACAGUGUUUUAUCUCGAUAUUCAUGUAAUUAUUUAUACACACGGGGUGGACAUGAGUCAUAUCAAGCCAAACUUUACUAGGCUUGAGCUCGGCUUGAGUUGAAUACGCAAGGCUUGAGCUUGACUCAUUACCUAUCAUAGGCUUUUUUUAGAGGCUCGGCUGGGCUUACAUAAAAGUCUGAUUUGGCCUACGAGCCUAUUUAAAAGCCUACUUAAAGACAUCUUUAACCAAUUAAUUGUUUUAAAACCUAGUGAAAUACUAACCAAAAAAACAAUUAUAAAAUUUUGUAUAAGUAAUGUACAAAAUCAUAUUGAAUUCAAGUUAUUAAAACACAAAGUAUAUCAAAAGAAAAUGAAAAAAAAGAACAUAAUAUUAAAAAAUAUAUGAAUUAGACAUGAUUUAUACUAAUAUAGCCAAAUAAAAAUAUUUAAAUUGUCUGAAAAUGUCUUUACAAAACAUUCUUUUCUUUGGAAGUAUUAAUCUGGUUGUAUUAUCCUUUUAAUUUAAGUCCUUUUCUUUUUGAAAAUUUUUCACAUGCAAGGGAACUCUCUAAGCACUUUAUGCCACUUCAUCCUGUCAUUCAUAAUGCCAUAAAAAUGUUAUAGAUAAUAGUUAUUAUUAUUAUUACUUAAACAAGUCGGCUUGUCAAGCUUAACAAGUUUUUUUUAUAGUUUGACAUUGGCCUUUUUAUCUAAAAAAACUUUUAAAGAGCUUAAGCUUGACCUUUAUAGUAAACAAGUCGAGGCGAGCCGAGGCGAGCCUUAAAUAGGCCGAGUCAUAGGUCCUUGACAAGCGACUCAGCUCAUUUUCAUCCUCACCUUAGUGGAUCUUCGACCUAUGAGUUUUUUCUCAAGAUUGCCUCUUUAGAUAAUGUAUAUGUAAUUGUCAUUGGGAAAUUGAUGUUAUCCCUAAUGAUACUUUCUCAAAUAAUUAGGGUGAUCUUUCUUUAUAAAGAUCAUCAUAAGUUGGAUGAGACAUGUUUAGUAUUCAGUUAGACUCAGUACCUAGUAAAGGGGUAUCAAGUAUUUGGAUAGGCCAAGGACCUAAUACUAUAGGGGAUAUUAGGUAUUAGGCUAGGGCAAAUAUCUACCCGGUAUAGUACAAUUAAAGAUUUUUAACCACAUGUUUAGAUUGGAUAAUGUUGGAGGCAAGGAAAAUUGGACAUAGUAUGAUUUAUUGAUUUUCAUUUAUUUGCUUGGUAGAAAAAAGAGGGGUGUGGAUUCAGUGACUUUGGAGGAAAACUCACUCAUUUUACAUCAGCAGAUUAAUUUGAUGGUUCAGAUUUUACCACUUGUUUUAAUAGAUCUUUUUUACUUAAAUUAUUAAUUUAAUACUUAUAUUUGUUGGACCUUGUGGCCUCAAUAAUUUUACGAGAGAUAGGCUUAGAAUACAGAAGAAGCAACAACAAUCAAUUUAACAAUGUUCUUUAAACAUGCAAGACACAAUUGAUUGCAACAAAAUAAAUAAGAUAAGGGAAGAGAAAAUGCAAACACAAUUUUAUACUGGUUCGACCACUUCCCGUGCCUACAUCCAGUACUCAAGCAACCCACUUGAGAUUUCCACUAUCUUUGUAAAAUCCUUUACAAAGUCUGAACCACACAGGGACAACCCAUCCCUUGUGUUCAGAUGCUUUACAACAAGAGACUCACAGUCUCUUAACCAAUCUCAUUGAAUAAGAAGAAUGGAAGAAGAAUUCUCUCUUCAAGAGAAGAAUAUUACAAUGAAGAUCAUGUAAGAAUCCUUAUAGAUUUUGCAAGUGUUUGGUCAAGGAUUUCUUUUGAGAGAGCAUUUGACAAUGAAGUUCUUUUGGAAUCUCUCUCAUUGUCUUUUGAGAGGAUAAGACAUUUUGGACCAAAAAUACUCUCUGUCUAAAAUUCGUGCCCAAGUCACCUAUUUAUAGGCCUUUGAUGACCAUUCACAAAUCUAAUGAAAAGAUGUGACUGUUGGCAGAUUUUCUGAAAACUUUCCACUGGUAAUCGAUUACAAUGUUUGUGUAAUCGAUUACACAAUUAUAAUUUGAAGGGUUAUGACUUUUGAAUUUGAAUUUCCAAAGUUUCGUUGCUGGUAAUCGAUUACAGACAUAUGGUAAUCGAUUACAUGUUGAAAAUUCAAAUUCAAAACCUUUUUCAACAGCUAUUUCUCAACCCUGUCUUCUGGUAAUCGAUUACACUUUCUGGUAAUCGAUUACCAGAGCCUUGCAUGUCUUGAAAGCACAUUGUUUUAAGGCAAGGCUUGGUCUUUAGUGAAUCUUGAAACAAGGCUUUGUUUGUUGAAGCAAUCUUGAAUUAUUCUUGAAGCAAAUGCUUAUCAUUUGAAGCAGCCUUGUUAGAUUCUUCUUUGACAUCAUCAAAAUCAUGUAUACAUACAUUCACAAUAUUUUUAUAUACUUUAAAAUCAUAAACAAUAUUAUUAAUCGUGUUAAUUAACUAUUAAAAUAAGAUUACCUUUAAUGAAAGAUAUACACGAUGUGCAUAAAAAAUUAUAAAAAAAUGUUGUAGAUCUUAAACUGUAAAAAUUUUCAUUCUCGGUAAAAGAUUUUUUAUAACUAAAUAAUUAUCAGAAAUUUUUAGACAAUUUGAAUAAUACUAGAGAUCACUGGUUAAAUUAAAAUAACUUUACAUUAAUUAAUUUAUGCGCUCACCGCUCAGUAGUAUUUUUUAUAAUUUUAAAGUAUAAAAAAUAUACGAACCAAGUCAAUAAUUAAAUUAAAAGUAUUUUUUAAAAUAAAUGCAUGGUAAAAUCUAGACCAUAAAAAUUAAUCUAAUGGCUUAAAUGGGUGGAAAAUGAAGGUGAUUUUCCCGCUUUAAGUCACUGAAUUCGAUUACAAAAAUGAGAGGUAGGGGUUACGAAAUUUCGUGGAUACUACCAUUAGGGAAAUCUUUCCAAUUUGCCUUGAACGAGAGAUGCUUUGUUGGUGCUAAUGUAUUUCUCUUUUAAUUUCUUAAAAUUAAAUAUUUUUAUAAUUAAUAUAUAUAUAUAUAUAUAUAUAUAUAUAUAUAUAUAUAUAUAUAUAUAUAUAUAUAUAUAUAUAUAUAUAUAUAUAUAAAGAAUAACAAUUUAAAACUCAUUCAAAGUUGGCCUAAUUGUAAGAGUUAGAGUAAUUAAUAUAAGGUAUUAGAUUUGAAGCUCAUUGUUGUCAUUAUACAAUAAAUCAUUGUUGUUAUUAUAUAAUAAAUAAUUGUGUCGUGAAGAAAAAUGAUGCAGCAAAUAUAUUUUUUUAAUUAGUAUAUAAAAUAUUUUCAUAUAGUUUUUUUUUCACUCUUUAUGAUCAUCUAAAUUAGUCAAGAAAAAAUUAUAUAUUUUAUUUCUCCUCUAUUUUUUUCAUUCUUACUUCAAUUCUUUCUAUUGUACUUUAAAUUCAGAUAAAAAGAAUGAGCUUGAUAUCUUUAACAUUCAUUAAGUUGAUUUAUUUUUUCUUCAUAGGCAAAUAAUAAAGGAAUAUGGUCAAGCAAUUCAUGACUUGGCAUCAAAUUUAUCACAAAAAAUGGCUGAGUCUUUGGGUAUAAUGGAUAAUGAUUUCAAGGACUGGCCAUUCAUUUUGAGGACUAUUAAAUAUAGUUUUACCCCAGAUGUUAUAGGCUCCACGGGAGCACAAUUGCACUCAGAUACAGGAUUUAUCACUCUACUUCAAGAUGAUGAACAUGUUAGUGGUCUUGAGAUGAUGGAUGAUUUUGGCUCAUUUAAGGCAGUUCCUCCCAUACCAGGGGCCUUCCUUUGCAUUGUUGGAGAUGUUGGACAUGUAAGCAUAGAUUAACAAGAUAUUUUUAUGUAUUUGAAUCACAUUAGCUAAACCUUAUUUUAAUUUUGAACAUUAUGUAUCCACUAUAAAAUAAAUAUAUCUUUGUACAGGUUUGGAGCAAUGGAAAAUUUUGGAAUGCCAGACAUCGUGUAAUAUGCAAGGAAACGGGUACUCGUUAUUCAUUUGGUGCAUUUAUGUUAUCACCAAGGGAUGGUAAUGUUGAGGCCCCAAAAAAAUUGGUGGAAGUUGACCAUGUACAACGCUAUCGACCAUUUAAGUACGAAGAUUUGAGGGAUUUCAGAAUCACCACAGGAAAGAGGGAUGGCGAAGUCCUUGAUCAAUAUCGCAUUUGUUAGUCAUUUUAUGCAUCGAAAUACAUCGCCAAUAGAACUUUAUUUUGAAAAAUAAGUUGGCGAUAAAAUAAAUGUUGCAUCCAUUCUAAAUAAUUUAAAUAGUUUGGUGUCCUUGUUCGUUCAUGAAUCCUAAUUCGUCGUGUUUUAAUUUGGAUCAUGUUAUUGUAUUUUGUUCUAGUUGAGUUGUGUUACUAUUGAUAUGCUUGCUGUAGACCAAGGAAAGUCUAUAUAUGCAGCAGGUUAUGUGAUGAAUUUGAGUGUGAUCAUUAAAGUUGCCAUGGUUGAUAUCUUCAAACAAAAUAUUUAAUAAGAGUCCUUAGAUUUAUUAUUCACCAAAAUAAAGUCCUUAGAUUUAUUCAAAGCACUCUUGAGUAAUCUUGUUAGGGAACAUGUGAUGAGAGGAACGAGCAAAAAUAAUAUCAAUUGAAAUAGAGACAUUCAUUAUAAGAAAACUAUAUAACUAACAAGCAAGCUAGUACGGUUUUCUUCAUAACCAACCCAACACACCUAACAAGGAAGUGGUUGUAACCUCUACUUUAGAAAUAAGUGAAAUGAAGUGUGUGUGUGUGUUAAUUUACCGAUACAGGUAAAUAUAGAUAUAUAAGAAAUGAGUGAGCUUUUGUGACGAAAAUAAUCUUAGGUUUAAGACUUAAGAAAUAUGAUUUGAUGAGUGUAGAAAAAUAUGUAGAAACUUAAUCAAGAAGUAGUUGUGAAUAUAAUUUGAUGUGUAUGGUUUAAGUACAAAUCAUUGUAAAGUGUAGCAUUAAGGUGUACUUUAGAAAGUACCACUACUUGAAAAAUAUGUUUCUACAUCGAUUUUAUGGCACAUUAAAAGACAAUUAUAGAGCCAACAAUGUGAAAAGUCAAAAUUUUUUACGACGAUUCUUAAAAAAUCAUCUUAAAAAAAGUUGUACAUUCUAAGACGGUUUUCAAGAAAAUAAUCGUCUUAGAAUGACUACAUUCUAAAAUGGUUUGUCAAAUAAUUGUGUUACAAUAUAAUUUUUUUAUAAAAAAAUUAAAAUAAGUAUAAGAUUCUAAGACGGUUUUUUAGAGAACCGUCUUAAAAUGUUUUUCAAACAAAAAAUGAAAUAAUUUUAAAAUUCAAAAACGAUUUUCUAAGAUAGUUAUUCUGAGAACCGUCUUAGAAUAUUUUUUUUGUAUAAAAAAAUUAAAAAUCCAUACAGCUUAUUCAAUUCCUCUUUUCAUUUCACUAUGCACAAACGAUUAUCUGAGACUGUCUUAGAAAAUGACACGGUGAUAAACUUGUAAUUAAAAUACCUGAAAAUUGUUUUUUACAACUCACAUUAAUAUACAUUAGUGGUAAUUUUAUAAUUAUUGACAAAACAACAACCACAAUUUUAAGAGAAAACCGCCUUCGUUCCCCUUUGGGCGGACAGGUUAGGACCUUUGAUAUUCUUUGUUUCUCGGGAAAAUUGAUCUCACCCUAGUAGGAGCCAAUAAAAAUUCCGAACACGUGAACUCUUUUUCUUAGUAGAAAUGCAAUUUCUCUCUCUCGACGAGGGGGAUAAAGAGAGUGACAAUAUCGAACAGUGAGGGAAAGGGAUCGGCAAAAAUGACGGUAGUGGCGGUUGGCUCUGAUUGCCAGAUAUCGACUCCGACGGUGUUUCCGGUGGUGCUGGUGCUCGGGAUUGUGCUGCCAUUUCUGUUCGUGAGGAUCACGAUCUUGAUUCUGGAAUCUGUUGCGGCGUGUUCCUCAUUGGGUAAUCUAUUCCUCCAACUUUUCACUUUCCUAACUUAUCUUUCUUAUUUUGUGUUCAUUUUCUUCUUUUCCUUUCACUUUCACAACAAUCUCACACUCUCAUCACACUCCAUUUACUUAAUUUUUUUCAGUUUAGUAAACGCGAAACUUUGCUUUUUCAAGUUUACUUGAACAUUCGUGAUUGAAUGAUGCGACUUUACUGUUUUUAAUUCUUUUUAGUUUUUGCUCUUAAAAGAAAAAGAAUAAGCUGAGAAGAGAGAGCGAAUAUCAUUUAUGAAACGUGAUGUUUGAUUAUUAAGUUUAUCAGCUUAAUGGAGAAUUUGAGGUUAUAUUCCCUCAGUUUGAAUAAUAAGAUUAUAAGAGCAAAUUAACAAAAGUUGUAAACAUCGUUUGUUUGGCAGAUACGUGCUAAAUAAGCUUUCAAGUGAUUGGUUAUUCCACACACAGUAUAUUCUUUACUCUCCCUUUUUUUGUUUAUUUAUCCUUUGCAAAGCAUAAACUGUUUUCUCAUAAUUUUGGCAGUAUAUACAUGUUUAAAUGAUUUUCUCCCCAUGAAAUUAAUUGGAUUUUUUGUGUUUUGCUUUAUACUGAUUCUCAGGAAGGGUCUUACUUUACCACCAAGUACCACAGUACGUGCUUCACUUACAGGUUGCGACUUACUUUUAUGCUAGAACUUGUCCUUUUUGUUUUGAAAUAGACAAAUAUAGUAACUUAUGUUUUUUACUUUAUUUGCAAGUAGAUGUGAAACCUGGUGUGUCCUUGGAGGAAAAACAACUACCCAAAGGAGAAACUUGGUCUGUUCACAAAUUUGGUGGAACCUGUGUGGGAACCUCUCAAAGAAUAAAAAAUGUUGCUGACAUAAUUCUUAAGGAUGAUUCGGGGAGAAAAUUGGUGGUUGUCUCUGCAAUGUCAAAGGUGAAAAAUAUGAUGUAUGACCUUAUCCACAAGGCUCAAUCACGCGAUGAGUCUUAUAUAGCUGCAUUGGAUUCUGUUUAGGAGAAGCACAAUGCAGCUGCACAUGACAUACUUGAUGGACAUAAUCUUGCUAGUUUCUUGUCUAAAUUGCAUCAUGAUAUUAGUAACCUUAAGGCAAUGCUUCUCUUUGAUACUCUGUUCUGUUUUCUCUUGUUCAGUUAUAUCUAUUUCUUUUGUAAAUCGUCAUUUGAACCUAGUAUGUUAUCUUCAAGUUGUCCUUGUUUAUUAUAAGUUGACAUUUAUGGCUUUCACUUUCUGGUGUUGUUUUCACAUUGUAAUGGUAUUGAUGUUGAUGUAUAUUGCAUUAGCUAUGUCUUGGUUGCUAUUUUAUAGUAUUGAUCAUUGCUUAUGUCUUGGACACUAUUGUAUGACCAUAAUAAUAUUAUUAUGGUAAGAAUAUUAAAUGCACAGUCCUACUCUACUUUUCUACAACUUCCAAAAAAGGUCUGUCAUUUCAAAGGAUUGGAGUUCUGAUAUUUAGUUGGGGAGCCUUUCAUGUUCAGUUUGAUUUUUGUUUUUUUUCUGUAAUGUAACUAAUCAUUACCAAUGCUUUGGAUGACAGUGUUGGAGCGUAGCAUCAACACACUUUUUCUCACUGAAAUGGUUUGAGGUUUAAUGCUGACACUGAAACACUUCUUCGAAACAAAAGUUACAACAAGUGUCUUCUAAAACUUGUUGCUGGCCAAGAUUGUUGCAACUUCUAUUUAAAUGCAUGAUUUUUAAUGCAGAUUAACUAUCCUUUUGAGAAAGGCCCUUUGAGCCCCCGUUUCUAUGGUGAACAUGCACUCCGAUGACAUCCAACAGGGGAGGAACGUUGCAUUGCUUGCAAACUUUGUGAAGCUGUAAGUCUUUGAUUGUUUAUCCUAUAGUUUUGGUUUAACGAUCAUUGAGACCAUGCAUUCUACCCAGCAUUGUCUAUCCAACAGGGGAGGAAUGUUGUAUUGUUUAUUUACUUUGAAUUUUUUUCUUUAUUAUUGUACACUAGUAUUGCUGCAACAUUAUACCUGUAAUGUGGGACAAACAUAUUAAGCUAGUAGAGAGUAAGGAUAGAAGCACAUGUACAUAUUAAUUUAUAGGAGGCCAAAGCAUCUAGUAGUCCCUAAACAAUGAAAUUACUAUUUUUUUUAAAAUGAAAUAUUAACCUAAAAAUUUAAGUUUAACAUUACGGAUAAGGUUAAUAGUUUUUUUGUAAGAUGAUUAUUAAUUAUUAAUAUGAUUAAUAUGAUACGUUUUUUUAAGAUGAUUUUAUUAAUUAUUUUUUCAUCGUUGAUUUUUUUGUGUUACUACAAAACCUUUAAUAUGGUUCUAUUAUAUUGAUGCAAAGUUUUAAUAGAAUUAUUUUAUUUUUUAACGUGGAUAAUGAAGUUUCAUAAAUUAGUGCUUGUGAAUUGAGGAACGGUGUUGAACGGUCCAACGAUAACAAGAAUACAAGAUCGAAUGCAAGUAUUAUAUAUGCACGAUGAAUGAAAAUGAAAAAAAAAAUAUUAAAUUGUAAAUAAAAAAAAAGUAUCUAAGUCAUCGAUUAAUCAUUGUUGCACUUGCUUCAACACUAGGUAUGGUAUCGAUGCUAUGUGGUGUUAAAGUACCAGAUCCAAAGUUUUGCUUCAACACUAGGAAUGAUUAAGUGAAAACCUCAGUAAAUUUUGUCUUCUAUCAGAAGAAAAAUUGUUAUUCAUUUUUCAAAGAGAUAAGGACGUUAUUCGAAUUUCAAUUACCUAGUACAGUUUGUAUUUUGAUAUAUUCGUUUUUAUUGAUAUACUUUUGCUUUAUUUGGUGGCAGAAAAUGUAUACUUCUAUUUUGUAGACACAACUCCUUUUGUUGAUAAAUACUUCAUUGAGAAUAAAGGCCAUAGCUACGAUUGGAGAGGCAUACUACCCAGGAAGCGUUACAUUUCUAACCUUCUCAAGUUAAUUUUAUUAUGAAUUCAAAAAUAAUAAUUAGUAUAUAUAAUUUCAUAACAAAACAUUUAAAUGUCAAGAAAGAUAAGCCCUCCUAUAUUUGAUAUCCUUUCUUAUCAUAUGUAGUUGUAGAUAAUUCUAGAUAUAUAUUUUUCGGUCGAAUGGGAACUUAUUUCUUCACAAGAAAAUGAAAAUGGCAAACUAUAUAUUAGAUCGUGAUUAAAAAUAGUUUCAUUAUUUAAUUAUCAGUAGAAGUCAAACUUCUUUCUAAAGGCAUAAAGACAUAUGUCUGAAACCAAGCAACAAUAAAUGCCACGCAUGCACAUAUGCAUUUUGCAUCUUUGAUAUCCAAAACUUGAACGAGACAUUGUAAUACAGGCAGUUUAGCCUAUGCGUUAAACUGUGUUUUUUAAUUUUUUUUAUUAAUUAGUUUGAUGUUAUUAAUUUUUAAAAUAUAUGAGAAUUUUAAAAAAAUGAAUUUUUUUUUUACAUAUGAAACUGUUUUAAUAGAUUUUUUAAUGAUGUGAUUACUUGAUGACAAAAAUUAAAAUAAAAAAAUUAAAACAAAAACCUUUAAAAAUAACUAAUAAAAAAUAUACAACAGACGUACUAAUAAAAAAAAAUUUGAUCUGCCAGACGCACUAAUAGUAUAUUAAUGAAGAUUUUAUAUAAACUAACAUAAAUUCAAAGGCACAGUCUGAACCAUGUUUCACUCCUCUCUACCAAACAUACAACAACGAAAUCCAUAGUUCUACUAAUUAUGGAUUUUAAAUAAACUAAUUAUGGAUUUUGUUGUAGUACUCUUGAAUGAAAAAUUGUGUCUACUUCUAAACUGAAAGGUCUUUCUAGAAAUCUGAUUAAAGCAAUAUAUGAAUGCAUUUUGGAAAUGGGAUUAUUUUUUGGGUUUAGUAUAUAGGUGAUCUUGUUAGAUGUUUAUUCACUAUUACAAAAAUCAGAUUUAAUAUCGAGAGAUUAAUAUCGAUUUUUGGUAAAAUCGAUGUUAACAUAAACGCGGUGGCAUAAUUAUAAAUAAUGUGUUUCUGUUAACAUCAAUUUUCUUAAAAUCCGAUGUUAACGAAGUGAUGUUAACAUCGGUUCUUGUAAAACCAAUGUUAAGAUUAAUUUGUUAACAUCGGUUUUUCCAAAAUCGAUGUUAAUAUCUCUUCGUUAACAUCAGGUUUUAAGAAAACCGACGUUAACCUAUGUUCGUUAAUAUCGAUUUUCUGAAAACCGAUGUUAACGUAUGACCAGUUAACAUUGGUUUCUUGAAGAAAACCGAUGUUAACAAAUUAAUCUUAACAUCGGUUUUGUAUGGAAAACCAAUGUUGGACUUACAUUUUAAAUUAUAUCAUACGCAGCCUAUUUUGCUCGCGCUCUCUUCUUCUCCGUGUAACCUCCCUUGUUCUGCAUCUAAGCUUGUUGUUCUUCAUCGCGCUGAAGACCGUGACAGCUUGCUUUUUGUUGUCCAUCGCCAACUUACCUAGGUACAUUUCGUCUAAACUUCAUGUCUUCAUUGUAACUUACCCAUGUUGUUAUAUUGAAAACCUAAGUCUGUUUCAGGAACUCGAGGUUAACCCAAGGACCUUUUUCAGUUUCUACUGCAAGGAUUAGGGAACUCAUGGUGACCUGAGGUAUGACGUAAGCUUCAUGUCUCCGUGCCAUUGUCAUUGAUCUCACUGCCAGUCUCGUUGCCAUUGUCACUGUCGGGUUCGAGGUAAGCUUCAUGUCUUCAUUGUAACUUCAUGCCUCCGCGUACGUGCUCAAUUUGAGAAGCAAUGUUGCCUUUUUCCAACGCAUGAGGGAUACAUAGACAAUAUAUUUAGAAAUGUUGUAGUAGUUUUGUUUAUUUCACUGGCUCAAUUUUAAUUCAAAUAAAUUUCUUUAGUACCAAAUUACUACACUUUAUUUCCAUAUGCUUCAAGCAAACAUAUACACCAACUUCUUUUAUCGAAUUAACUUUGGAAACAAAUGCUCUCAUUUGAAAUAAUCAACAAAAAAUACCUGCGUGUGCAACUGUAUAUUCUGCCAAUAUAAGUUGUCAUUGUUUGUCUUCAUCAAGAACUUAGUAUAAAUUCCAGUUAAUGCUGUUUGAUUUACAGUUUUCAGUCAUUGAUUGAUGACUUUGAUUUACAAUUUUCAGUCAUUGAUUGAUGACUUUGAUUUACAGGGUUGCUUCAGGAGCUCGGGUUAUAAUCCAAUCUAAACUAUAUUGAGACAGAACAAGUAACAACUCUUAAAAUAUUUUUGUUUUAGAGGUUAGACAGCUACCAAAAACUGCUAGUUUUUAUCUUUUGUUUGAAUGAAACAUGAUGAUGGUAUAUAUUUAUGUAGGUCCUUGAUGAUGGUAUAUAUUUAUGUAGGUCCAUGUGAUAUGUUUAUGUAGAAUAAUUUUUUUUUGCAUGUAUUGCCUAGGAUUAUUUGCUAUCAAGAUGCCAAAAGUUUUGACACUAGUUAAUUAAUUUCAGUUUUACCUUAACACUUAACUCUUUAUUGUACAAAUUUUUGUAUGAAGAGAUAUAUUCUUUAUGUAGGACCAUGUGAUAUAUUCUUUCUCUUUAUCUAUCUUUAUCACAUUGUGGCCAUCUUAUUACAUACUUCCUAGUCUUCUCAUCCUAUCUCACUCUUUAUUGUAAAAAUUUUUGUAUGAAGAGAUUUUAUGAAUACAAUUUCUCAAAGCAAUAAUGAUAAGAAAGUACUCAAAAUUUGAUUUCAGUGCAGGUUGAGAUUGCCCAUGUGUAUACUGCUCUUUUAACUCGCCAUUAAAAGUGAACAACUUAGGAUCAAUUUCUGGGCCUGCAUUAUUAGUUACACCCCCCAGUAAACUAGCACCAUAAUUAGAUCCAAAUUCCAAACCCAAUGAUUGGGUAAAGCCCCAAUUAGGCAAUUCUCCAUUAUUGUCUUCAAAAGGAAUCUGAAUCAACAAUUAAAAUAACAAAAUGAAAAUAGUUAUAUAUCAUUGCUAAAUCUCACAAUUUAGUGCAUAUUAAAUUUUUUUAUGAGAUACCACUACAAGUUAAAACAUCAGGGUUACAAAUCAAAUAUAAAAUUGACACCAAACUAAUGCAAGGCCACUCCAUCCAUCAAACUACUUAAUUCUCAUCUCAGUAGAUUAAAUAAGGAUACAUUAGGACAAACAUAAAGUAAAAAAGAAAGUCUAGCAAAAAUUUAAGAUAAGCACUACUAUGUUCUUUAGCAUUUCUACAAGUUUAGAAACAAUUCAAAAUAUUCGGUGCUACACAUGUACACUAGUAACAAGAAGUUAUGAAUAAGCUCCAUCCUAAUUCAUCAUUCUAUUGUAUUGCAACUUAAUAAAAAUUUAAAAUACAUGGCUAAAUGACUAACUCCUUGGAAAGAAAGUAAUUGUAUAUUCACAUGACACUUUUUCCACAAAUCCAUCUUCUAGAAUCUCUUAAUAUUCUUUUGAUAUGAAGCAACAGCUCCCACAAAUUCUCACAUUCCCUAGCUUCCCCUCCUCAAGCAAUUCUUUUCAAAGAUAAAAGAAUAGGUGAACCAUACACACCUCAUCAAGCAUAAAGUCCAUUAGCAACAACAUAGAAUGCACUUAAAACUUUAAUCAGCUGCCUAACCUAAACUCUGUUGUUGGUUAGUGUUAGCAAGUAGUAGCUACUGGGAUGGUGCCUUUUUAGAUAUUGAGUUGUUGAUCCUCAUUUUCUUGGCAUUUGCUUUUUGUGUAGCUGGUUCACUAGCUUUGUUCAUCAAUUUUAUUAUAUUUAUAUAUUUUUUUCUUUUUUCUCAUUCUUGCUAAAUAUUAAAUCACAUAAUGAGUGUUUGUGACAUUUUUUUCUAAUUUUCCUCUAGCUUUUGUUAUUUUUUGCCCCCAUGCAUAAUAAAAAAAAGGAAAAAGAAAUUGCAUACAUGAGGAAAAGAAUAUAAACAAUAGAAUAAAAUCCCGGGAGAAAAAUUUGUCGUCAAGAAAUAAGAAGACAAAUUUUGGUCAAUGUCUGAGGCGUGCGAAAGUGUCACAGAGAUACUCUUCAAAUGUUAAGAGUUUUGUGCAAGCGAAAGAUCUAAUAUUAGUUGACUUAAAGUUUCAUGAUUACCAUGUCUUGAUGCAACAACUCUUGACGGUGGCCAUACAAGACUUCUUGCCAAACAAAUUCAGGCAUGCCAUAACUUGCAUGUGUUUUUUCUUCAAUGUCAUAUGUAGCAAAGUCAUUGAUCCUCUAAAGUUAAAUGACUUGGAAAAUAAGGUUGUCAUUAUCUUGUGUCAGUUGCAGAUGUAUUUUCCUUCUUCAUUUUUCUACAUUAUGGUUCACUUAAUUGUUCAUCUGGGGAAAGAAAUUAAAUUGUGUGGUUUCGUUUAUUUACUAUAGAUGUACCUGGUUGAGUGAUACAUGAAGAUCUUAAAAGGGUAUACAAAGAAUCUACACAGUCCUGAAGCACCUAUUGUUAAAAGGACAUUAUAGAAGAAGCUAUGAAGUUUUUUUUAUAGUACAUUGGAAAGGCAAAACCUGUUGGGCUUUCGAGUCUCGACAUGAUGAGAGAGUGAGAGAUAAGGGCUCACGAGGGUUGCAUGUUAUACAUAGUUCGUCAUGGAGCCUUAGUGAAGGAAAGUAACCCCAAAAAUGAUCUAGAAUAGGGUGUUGAAAGAGCAUAACAAGACUUUCAUAAAUUGGUUUAAAGAUACAAUCUUUGGUGACAAUAAUGUUAUAUUUUAGUACUAAUCCAAAACCAUUGGAACCAGAGAGAAUAAAGACAAUUUGUAUUCAAUGGACAAGAUAUUUUCUAAGAGUUAAAAAUGAAGCACUAACUACUAUUUAAGAAAAUUUGCAAAUGUUAGACUUAUGUAAAUCCUUGGUUAUAAAUGAUAUGUAAAUCUUAAGUUACACAUGAUAUUUAUGUAUUGACAUUAUUGUAUUUAUUAGUAUUUAUUCAAUAAUAAGUUGAAUAUAAUAUUUACUGCCUGGAUUGAGUUGGUUUUGGCCUAAAUUGGUUUUUUUUUUAAUUUACAAGUUUGAGUUCAUUUAAUAAAUAAACAAAAUAUUAAAAAAAAUAUUCAUACUCCCCAAAAUUGAUGUUGCAAGUACUAUACAAUAUCAGUUAUGCCAAAAUCGAUGUCGUAUAGCACAACAUCGGUUUUUUUUCUAAAAAAUCGUUGUUGUAAGUACUAUACAACAUUGGUUUUGGUAGAAGUGAUGUUUUAUGCUUUUUUUUUAUUAUUUGCUACUACUAUGCUACAUCGGUUUUGAGAAGAAUCGAUGUUGUAUAGUAUAUUUCAACAUCGAUUUUUAUAAAUAGUAUUAAAAAUAACCUACUUUUAACGAUGUUUGUUUCAACAUCUAUUUAAAACUGAUGUUGAAUGUUCAAAAUAACCGAUGUUAAAAAUAUUGUUUCUAGUAGUGUGUAGUGUGUAUAGGUUACUUCUUUAUUAGUACUUUACCCUUUUUUUUAGAAAUGCAUUAUUGUUCCUUACAUUAGAGUAUAUUAUUUUAGUUUAAUUGUGCAUGGUUUAUUAAUGCUUGAAGCUUUGCAUAACAAAUUUAACACCUUGUUAACCAUCCUAACUUGCUUAGUUGAGGCCUUAACAAAUAAGAGGCAAUCACAUGCAAAAAAGAGGUGAGAAAUAGAGGGCCCAAUCCUAGAAUUUUUACAAGUUGCCAAUCACCUGAAUCAACUUUUUCCUGGAUCAAAAUAGCAAGUUUUUUCGUACACAACAAAAGCAAAUAGAGAGACAUAGGAUCACCCUAACCCAUACCUCUGUGAGGAAUAAAACUAUCAAGCUAGUGUAGAAUUAUUCCAUUUAAGAGCAUAAAAGAUAGAUGAGGUGCAAUUUAGAAUCAAUUGGAUAAUCCAAUUUUUAUUCUUCUUUUAUCAUUUGUAACUUUUUACAUUCAUUUAAAGAACAUAUAGAAGCAAAAAUAAAUUAUUGGGGUAGCAAUUGAACCCAUACAAUUCAACAUGGAUCGAUUUCGUAAGUUCUAUAAAUUGCAAAUUAUAAAAAGCAGAGAAAGUGGAUUUAACUAUGAGCAAAGUUGAAGUAUCCUCCAACCAAAUCCAAUGAUCAUUCCCUUGACUUCCCACUUUCAUAUUUCAGAUAAUGCAAGAAGAUAAAUCAUUUCGUGCAACAAACGCCUCCAUAGUAUUAAUUUGUUGGAGAUAAUAUAUCAUAUGGGUCACUAAAAAAUAUAGCAAUUUUACAUUAGUCUGUGAAAGUAAGAAAAUUCAAAAAUAUCCUUGAAAGUGUAAUCCAUUAACCAAUUUAGUCCAAAGUUCAAAAGCCAACUUGCAUUUAAGUUGAAUAGAGUAUUCAAGUUGACAGUUCAAAUAGAGGCACUUGUCUUCGUUCUCCUAUACCUUUUCCAGCACAUCCUCAAAGAAUUUCUACUGGAAGAGAAUUAUUCUAUCAAUCAUUAAUCUUUCUAGUAAAAAUGUGUUCAAAAUGCACUCUUGUGCUCUAGUUUAUUUGUCAACCAUGAUUUCCUUAAUCUUGGGCUUUAUAUGAUUGAAAACUCAACAUCAAAGAGUUGUAGGUUUAAAAUUCAAAUGUCUGGUUCCAACAUAUUAUUAAACUAUUAGAAGUUUUGACUGUGUUACAUUGUGCAAUAUUUCUAUAGGUAAUUUGUUAUGCAUAAAAUCUUGGCUCUCUCUUCAUCAUGUCGGAGAUGGUCUUUCAAUCUUGAGGGCAGAACUUAAAAGUCAAAAGAAUCAAGUUAAACAUUUGAAAAAAGAAAGUCACGGUGGUCUAGAAGUUUGGAGGAGGUAACUUUAGAUUAUUACUGUACAGUAAUGAUUAUAAACUCUUAUUCUCGUCUACUUGACAUGUUUUAUCCUUUCAUUACAUUUUAUCCAUGUAUAAUGCAAUAACAAGUACAAUGACUCUAAAUUUUUUUUAUUGAUAGAGGUGUGUUCUUUUUGAGCAUAACAUACAUGGAAAUUUGAGAAAAAUAUAAUAUAAUUUAUAAUCUAAUGGAUCACAAGCAAUGUAUAUGAAAUUAUUAUUAUUAGCAAUUUUAUCCUGAUAUUAAUAUAAUUAUUAGCUCUAUUAUUAUUAUUAUUAUUUCAGAAUAUAUGAAAUUGAAAUGACAUAUGACUAGGAAUAGAAAUCUGAGAUUGAUUGAAAGCAAUGUAUAUGAAGUUUUUAAUUUUUUUUUUUAAAAAAACACAUUCUAAGAUGGUUCUCUAAAAAAUCAUCUUAGAAUGUUACAUUCUAAGACAAUUUUUUGGGAAAACCAUUUUAGAAUCCUCAAUAUUUUUAAUUUUUUUAAAAAAAAUCAUACAUUCUAAGGCAGUUCUCUGAAAAAAUCUCUUAGAAAAUCUAUCAUUUUAAGAUGGUUUUUACCUAAGAACCAUCUUUAAAAUGUUUCAUUCUAAGAUAGUUUUGACCUAAAAAUCGUGUUAGAAAGAUAGCAUUAUCUAAGAUGAUUUUUAUGGGUUGGCUACAACAACGGUUAAUAACCAAUGUCGUAGACAACUUUUAACCGACGUAGAAUGACUUUAUUCUAGUAGUGUAGGGGAUUCGAAAGUUCCUAAGUUAUACUAACUAUGAAGAGCAGUUUUCCAUAAUAACAUUGUUGGAGAGCAGUUUUAUAUAAUUUCAUAAUUUAACUCACACUCUUGAUUAUUAACAUUUAAAUUUUUGUAUUUCUUUAAGAUAAAAAAAAUCUCAUGAAACUUUGUUAUAACAUACUUAGUUGAUGUUAUGUAUUCCACUACUCACUUGGACAAAACAUUAUACCUAUAUUACCUAGUUAACUUAUAAAUGUGAAUCAUUUGAUUUAAUUUCAGGAAAAUAACUUUAAGGAAUGGAGGUAAGUGGUGACAAAAAUUAAGUGUUUCACGAAAGUUGACAAUGACUUUAGUUUUAUGACCAUGUGUUAUUGUGUCACAUUUGAAACUAUCGUUGAAAUGAGGUUAAUAUUGAUUCAUGUUGCCAAUGUAAUCUGUAGAUUUGGAUUAAUAAAUUACUUUAGAACCAAAAAAGAAUGAAUAAAUCGCUAAUAGUUUUGAAGUUAGUUAUGAUUUCUUUGUGUUUGCUAUGUGACUAAUAUAAUAUAGAACAUAUGCAUUAUUGCCUUCAUGUACUUUUUAUUUUGUGUAUAACCUAUUUCAAUUUUGAUGAUUGAAUGACCUUUCAUGCUUGUAAUAUAAUAGGUGAAAAUGAAAAAAAAGUUAAAAAAAGUCACAUUCAAAGAAGGUUAUCUCGCAAAAACUGUCUUAGAAUGUGACACAUUCUAAGAUGGUUUUAGCGAGAUAACCGUCUUUAAAUGUAACCCCUUUUAAGAUGAUUUUGCCACCAAAACCGUUUUAGAAUUGACACAAAAAUCAUCUUUGAAUGUAACCCCUUCUAAAACGAGUGAUGAAUCGUCAUCGUAUAUUCUACAAUGUUGCCUACGACGACGGUUAAUAAGCGACGUUGAAUGUGCAAAUUAACUAACUUAGAAUAACCUUUCUUUAGUAGUGCGACUUUUCCGAUUAGAAAUCCUUGUCGAAAAUCUUGUUGACCACCUUUAAUGGGAUCUUCCCUUUUAAUCAUUUUUUUUUACAUUUAUAAGAUUUAAAUCUGAGACCUUACUUAAAGAAAUUGAAUUCAAUACUACUCAGAUCAACAAUUUGUUAGUAUAUAUUGUUGACUGGAUGUCAUUUGAGGCCUACAUGAAUUGUUCAAAAUUGUAAUGGCAAAAAGAUAUAACUAUAAAGAAUGAAGGUGAUUUUGGGGGGCUUUACAUGUGAUAUAUAUCGGCCGGUUGACAGGAGUGUGGACAUGUUGGGAUCCCUCCUUAAUUGGAGAGGUUUUAGAAAAUUCUAGAGCUUUCUGGAAAAGUGUAGAAUUUUCUAAAACGUCCUGGAGAACUCUAGAGUAGUGUAGAACUCUCUAGAAGCUUGUGGAAGAAUGUGGAAACCUCUGGAAUAUUCUGGAGACGUGUGGAACCUUCUAAAACCUUAUGGAAGAGUAUGGAAGGAAGUAGAAGAGUGUAGAGAUUCCUAGAAUAUGUGGAGCAUUCUAGAGAAUUAAUCUCCACCCUAGGAUACAAGUAAUCUCCACCAUUCAUUGCGAAGGUGCAAUAUUAUAAAUAAGGGUAGGAGCCUUCAUUCCUAACAAUCCAAUGAGAGAGCCUCUCUGAGAGAGAAGAUAAAUAGCUUGGGAAGUCUCUAUCCUCAUGCUUGAGUAAGCCUCUCCGAGAGAGAAGAUAAAAAGCUUGGGAAGUCUUUAUCCUCAAGUUUGAGUGAGCCACCAUAGAGUGAUUCAAUCCAAGACAAGAGUGAAUCCACUUCUUAGAGUGAGGAAGAGCCUCUUUGAGAGAGAAGAAAAAUAGUUUGGGAAGUCUCUAUCCUCAAGCUUGAGUGAGCCACCAUAGAGUGAGUCAAUUUUGAAAACACAUCCUUGUAACCUUACUAUCAUUUUGUAUAGUGGAAGAAUCUCCAUAUUGGAGAAUUAUAAUCGUGUGCUCCCAUUACUACCUUUAAUUACUAAGUACCUAUAUUAACUUCACGAAGCGGAAAAGUCUGAAUUUUCCCAACAGGACACUUCAUCAUAAUUCAUUUAACGGGUUAUCUUGGAUUUAAGGAGAUGGGGUAUGUUUGGAUAAUGGUAAUUACAUUUUAGGAGAUGUAAGUGGAUGAUUUAUAGUUGUUAUUCCUCAUGCCCUCAAUUUUAUUGUAUGAUCGACACUGUUGUAUAUUGUAAAAUUUGGGAUCUGAAUAUUGAGGUUGUGUCUUGAGUAUAUGAAUGAUAGAUUUUGUAAAGAAAAUAUUUGAUAGACACUUAAUAUGUUAUUCAAUACUUAAAAAGAGUAAAAUAAAUUAUAAAUAUAAUAAAAUUUAUAAUAUGGUGAUAAAAAGAAAGAAAUAAAAAAAUAAGAAGUUUUUAGUGAAAUAUUUAAAAUAACGAAUAAUUUAUGUAUCAUAAAUUACUUAUUUUGUACCGUGGGAACAUGAUGGAUGGUUACUUUAGGCUAUAAUUCUUGUAUACUAACACACAUCUAGCUUGUGAUGUUCUUUAUUUAUAAUUAUAUAUAAAAGCAAUAUAAUAUGAUAUUUUGGUAUACAUAUUUUUAUGUUUAUUUUAUCUCUUUAAUUACAUUCAUAAAUUAUUUUUAUGUUUAUUUUAUCUCUUUAAUUACAUUCAUAAAUUAUUAUUUUAUACUUGUAACUACUCUCACAAACCACUCAUUAACCUUUAUUAUUAUUUUUUAUUUAAAAAAAUGAAAAAAGCAGUUAGACACGAAUUGUCUGUUUUUCCUAGUAAUAAUAUUAACAAUUUUAUGUUUGCAGACAAAAAAGAAACCAUGUUUAUGUAUCUGCGUUUCCCACGUCUAACAAUAAUUUAUACAAUAUGAUUAUAUGCACCAUGUUAAUAUUAUAAUAUAUCGCUGGGACAGUUUUUGUUUGACAGCACAGCACUCGGAAAUUUCUGGCGAUCUCUGCGUUUUCCCCUAUUUUUUCUGAAUCUAACAACAAACAUCCCUCAGGUGCCCAUUUCUCCUCUUCCCUUUCCGAUCUAUUAUGCAUGCAUGCUAUUCCAUUCCAAUUCCACGCCGUUUCUUGCGUCCCUUUUCACUCUUUUCUCUGCUUAUUAUUAUUACUCCCAUUUUCCCCUCCUUCGUUAACCUGCAAAAUUACAAUGAAAACAGUGCACUGCACCUUAACUAGAUUUGGAUCUCCCCACCUUUUGAAACCGAAUUAAUUGUCUUUUCGCCAUCGGAUACAAAUUUAUUUAUUGUAUCAACUGAAUUUCGAUUCCAUGCUAUGCUGGUUAGCUCUUCUAGGUUUUUUAUCUGAGAAAAAAACAAACACAAUAUCAACGAUUUCAGAGAAGUUUGAGUAAGGUAAUUAAUCACAGUGGUUGAUAACAAACUGAAUGGUUGAUCUUGUAAUCAAACGAUUUUGAUUACUUGCUUUAGUCUAUAGAGUGAAAUUGUUCACUUUAGAGGAGUUGGAUCCAAAUUUGACUGUGUAAAAUUUGUGAUUCUGUAUUUGGAUGAUCCCUGCUUUCCUUUAAUUUCAUUUUUAAGUUUACUGUCUUAUGAAGGACUGACACCGACAUGGACACCGGACACGACACAUAUAUAUAUAUAUAUAUAUAUAGACACGUGGACACCUAUAAUGUCCAAAAUAUAGAACGUAGUACAGGUGUUGUGUCGGUGUCGAACACGGACGCUAGUCGAACACCGGACACGACAAAGGACUGGAGUGUUCGUGCUUCAUAGAUGCUGUCCCUUCUCACUGGUAUUUAUUUGCAAGAUCUUCGAUUGCAACCGGAUUUAAAACUUGGCACGUGUGAAACUGCAACUUAAAACUUGACACAUCUGAAACCUCAAUAUUAAUGGUUGCAGUCUUGCAAACACAGUUUGAAACUGUUUUCGACUUUGCAAAUCAAGCUAAUUGUGAUGGACAAUGUUCUUAUCCCAUAUCCCAAAUCAAAGCAUUUUGAUAUGCUGUUUUGGUGUCGGUGGCUUCCUCCGUAGUUUCGGAUUUUGGCCAGUUGUUCUGUUUUGUGUUAAUUUCAAUAUUCUUCUGUUUUCGUAAAUCAUAAUUUUGUAACCUCUUUACUUGCUUAUUAUUAUAUUUAUACUUUACAAGCUACCAAAAUUUGUGUCUUCUUCAACCUCUCUGUUCUCUAGUAUGAUUGUGAUUGUACCAUGUGAUCGAAAUUUCCUUUCCUGUUCAAUUCUUCAUUUACCUUCUUUUUAUUUAAUCUGGAUGUAAAUUAAAUGUAUAGUGUUUAUUUAAAAUUUUAUCUUAUUCUUAUCUCACCUUAUCACAAUAAUAAAAUAAUUUGGUGAAAGAUUUCAUCACAAUUUAAUGACUUUAUAGUAUUAUUUAAAUAAUAAUGUGCAAAAGCUUUCUGUUAAUAUCUAUUUAAGAUAGAUUGGACAUGCAAAUUCAAACUUUUGAAAUUUAUACUAGUUUUCAUUUUUUAUUUUUUAAAUAUCCUCCUUUAAAUAUAAUUCUAUUCGAAAUAGAUCUUUUAACAAUAAUUCGAAUAUUAUUAAGUCACCAUGUUAUGACGGUAGGUUUAAUUUAACUAUUUAAAUAAAUUCACAAUUGGCAUUUCCCAAUCGUGGUGGUAGGAUCAAUUGUGGCCAAAACGGCAUAUCAAAAUCUUAUCCCAUAUCCGAUAAUUUUGGUACAUAAUUGUGUCCAUGAUAUUUUUCUUACGUCCUAUAUAAUUUUGAAAACAAAUGAUCGAUUUGUGUAGCAAUGAUAAGCGCUCUUCGCGGAACCAUGUUAAAAAUUGGUGAACUUAUAUAAUUUUAAAUUAACCCAUACAUUCAUUUUAAACGAAUACUGAAUUUCACGCGUUGAGUAUGUACUUUUUAUUUUUGCCUUUUAAAUUUCCAAAUCAGGGUGGUUUCUCUAGUGUCAAACAAUAAGACAUGGACAGUUAUUUUUUACUUUCCAAAUUCAGAAAUAUAUUUUCCAUGGAAACUAUUUUGAUGUUAAAAUCAAUAAUUUACAUAUCAUUGUUAUCAUCACACUGUUUGUUAACUCUCCCUUUUUACUGUCCCUUCUUUUUUGUCUUUGUUUCUUCACUUCCUUCGAAUUGUUUUUUUCUGACAAGGCAACAAUCAUCACUAUUAAUAAGAGUUCCUUCCUUCACUCUCACCCAAGCCAAAGAAAGGAACAAGAACAAGAACAACAAAGUAACGUGAAAGAGAGAGAGAUGGAGGCGAUUGUUCCAGUGGUGGAUUUCCAGAGGCUUUCAGAGGAAGAGGAGCGCAAGAAGCUGAGAAAAACAUGUGAGAAACCAGGGUGUUUCAGAAUCAUCAACCACUCAAUUCCACUAACACUCAUGGCUGACAUGAAGUCAGUGGUUAAAUACUUGCAUGACCUUCCCACGGAAAUCAAAAUGCGCAACAAACCCUCCGUCCCUGAGAGUGGCUAUAGGGCGGCAUCGCCAACAAGUCCUCUAUACGAGGGCAUGGGAAUAUAUGACAUGCAUGCCUCACCACAAGCAUUUGAAGAUUUCUGCUCCAACUUGAAUGUGUCACCCCGUCACAGGUUCUUUAUGUUACUCUCAUUCAAUCCUUCUUUAUUUGGCUCCAACAAUAUAGAAUUUAUUUUUGUAUGCUUGAAAAUUGUUAUAUAUGAAAGUUAAUUAAUCACGUUUAAUUACAUAAAUUUUAAUUAAAAGUUAAUUUUCCUCCAAUUUAUAUCUUUUACUGGAACUUAGUAUUAGGAAUAAAAAAUAGUAUUAAAAUUAAAAUCUUAAUAAAUGAAGGUUGGUUUAUAGAUAGUAGCAUUAAAUGAGGUAAAAUUAGUUGAAAUUAUUUUAUAUUUGAAAUUAAAUGAUGUAAAAUUAGUUUUUUUUUUUUAUAUUUGAGGCCAGUAAUUUUCUUUUAUAUUUAAGAUCAAAGUAGCAUUUGUAUUUGUACGAGGGUAAAUAAGUAACUUUUUUCCUUUCUUAUGUUCUCUGAAUGAUCUUUUCUCUUCUCCAAAUGAUACUUGGCCAGCCAAGGAUGAGGUACCUAUAAAAGGUACUUCAAUGCUUAAGUAAUAAGAUCUCAACAGUGUUUUAUCUCGAUAUUCAUGUAAUUAUUUAUACACACGGGGUGGACAUGAGUUAAAUCAAGUCAAACUUUACUAGGUUUUCAGCUCGGCUUGAGUUGAAUACGCAAAGCUUGAGCUUGACUCAUUACCUAUCAUAGACUUUUUUUAGAGGCUCGGCUGGGCUUACAUAAAAGUCUGGUUUGGCCUACGAGCCUAUUUAAAAGCCUACUUAAAGACAUCUUUAACCAAUUAAUUGUUUUAAAACCUAGUGAAAUACUAACCAAAAAAACAAUUAUAAAAUUUUGUAUAAGUAAUGUACAAAAUCAUAUUGAAUUCAAGUUAUUAAAACACAAAGUAUAUCAAAAGAAAAUGAAAAAAAAGAACAUAAUAUUAAAAAAUAUAUGAAUUAGACAUGAUUUAUACUAAUAUAGCCAAAUAAAAAUAUUUAAAUUGUCUGAAAAUGUCUUUACAAAACAUUCUUUUCUUGGGAAGUAUUAAUCUGGUUGUAUUAUCCUUUUAAUUUAAGUCCUUUUCUUUUUGAAAAUUUUUCACAUGCAAGGGAACUCUCUAAGCACUUUAUGCCACUUCAUACUGUCAUUCAUAAUGCCAUAAAAAUGUUAUAGAUAAUAGUUAUUAUUAUUAUUACUUAAACAAGUCGGCUUGUCAAGCUUAACAAGUUUUUUUUAUAGUUUGACUUUGACCUUUUUAUCUAAAAAAACUUUUUAAAGAGCUUAAACUUGACCUUUAUAGUAAACAAGUCGAGCCGAGGCGAGCCUUAAAUAGGCCGAGUCAUAGGUCCUUGACAAGCGACUCAACUCAUUUUCAUCCUCACCUUAGUGGAUCUUCGACCUAUGAGUUUUUUCUCAAGGCUGCCUCUUUAGAUAAUGUAUAUGUAAUUGUCAUUGGGGAAUUGAUCUUAUCCCUAAUGAUACUUUCUCAAAUAAUCAGGGUGAUCUUUCUUUAUAAAGAUCAUCAUAAGUUGGAUGAGACAUGUUUAGUAUUCAGUUAGACUCAGUACCUAGUAAAGGGGUAUCAAGUAUUUGGAUAGGCCAAGGACCUGAUACUAUAGGGGAUAUCAGGUAUUAGGCUAGGGCAAAUAUCUACCCGGUAUAGUACAAUUAAAGAUUUUUAACCACAUGUUUAGAUUGGAUAAUGUUGGAGGCAAGGAAAAUUGGACAUAGUAUGAUUUAUUGAUUUUCAUCUAUUUGCUUGGUAGAAAAAAGAGGGGUGUGGAUUCAGUGACUUUGGAGGAAAACUCACUCAUUUUACAUCAGCCGAUUAAUUUGAUGGUUCAGAUUUUACCACUUGUUUUAAUAGAUCUUUUUUACUUAAAUUAUUAAUUUAAUACUUAUAUUUUUAUAUACUUUAAAAUCAUAAACAAUAUUAUUAAUCGUGUUAAUUAACUAUUAAAAUAAGAUUACCUUUAAUGAAAGAUAUACACGCAUAAAAAAUUAUAAAAAAAUGUUGUAGAUCUUAAACUGUAAAAAUUUUCAUUCUCGGUAAAAGAUUUUUUAUAACUAAAUAAUUAUCAGAAAUUUUUAGACAAUUUGAAUAAUACUAGAGAUCACUGGUUAAAUUAAAAUAACUUUACAUUAAUUAAUUUAUGCGCUCACCGCUCAGUAGUAUUUUUUAUAAUUUUAAAGUAUAAAAAAUAUACGAACCAAGUCAAUAAUUAAAUUAAAAGUAUUUUUUAAAAUAAAUGCAUGGUAAAAUCUAGACCAUAAAAAUUAAUCUAAUGGCUUAAAUGGGUGGAAAAUGAAGGUGAUUUUCCCGCUUUAAAGUCACUGAAUUCGAUUACAAAAAUGAGAGGAAGGGGUUACGAAAUUUCGUGGAUACUACCAUUAGGGAAAUCUUUCCAAUUUGCCUUGAACGAGAGAUGCUUUGUUGGUGCUAAUGUAUUUCUCUUUUAAUUUCUUAAAAUUAAAUAUUUUUAUAAUUAAUAUAUAUAUAUAUAUAUAUAUAUAUAUAUAUAUAUAUAUAUAUAUAUAUAUAUAAAGAAUAACAAUUUAAAACUCAUUCAAAGUUGGCCUAAUUGUAAGAGUUAGAGUAAUUAAUAUAAGGUAUUAGAUUUGAAGCUCAUUGUUGUCAUUAUACAAUAAAUCAUUGUUGUUAUUAUAUAAUAAAUAAUUGUGUCGUGAAGAAAAAUGAUGCAGCAAAUAUAUUUUUUUAAUUAGUAUAUAAAAUAUUUUCAUAUAGUUUUUUUUUCACUCUUUAUGAUCAUCUAAAUUAGUCAAGAAAAAAUUAUAUAUUUUAUUUCUCCUCUAUUUUUUUCAUUCUUACUUCAAUUCUUUCUAUUGUGCUUUAAAUUCAGAUAAAAAGAAUGAGCUUGAUAUCUUUAACAUUCAUUAAGUUGAUUUAUUUUUUCUUCAUAGGCAAAUAAUAAAGGAAUAUGGUCAAGCAAUUCAUGACUUGGCAUCAAAUUUAUCACAAAAAAUGGCUGAGUCUUUGGGUAUAAUGGAUAAUGAUUUCAAGGACUGGCCAUUCAUUUUGAGGACUAUUAAAUAUAGUUUUACCCCAGAUGUUAUAGGCUCCACGGGAGCACAAUUGCACUCAGAUACAGGAUUUAUCACUCUACUUCAAGAUGAUGAACAUGUUAGUGGUCUUGAGAUGAUGGAUGAUUUUGGCUCAUUUAAGGCAGUUCCUCCCAUACCAGGGGCCUUCCUUUGCAUUGUUGGAGAUGUUGGACAUGUAAGCAUAGAUUAACAAGAUAUUUUUAUGUAUUUGAAUCACAUUAGCUAAACCUUAUUUUAAUUUUGAACAUUAUGUAUCCACUAUAAAAUAAAUAUAUCUUUGUACAGGUUUGGAGCAAUGGAAAAUUUUGGAAUGCCAGACAUCGUGUAAUAUGCAAGGAAACGGGUACUCGUUAUUCAUUUGGUGCAUUUAUGUUAUCACCAAGGGAUGGUAAUGUUGAGGCCCCAAAAAAAUUGGUGGAAGUUGACCAUGUACAACGCUAUCGACCAUUUAAGUACGAAGAUUUGAGGGAUUUCAGAAUCACCACAGGAAAGAGGGAUGGCGAAGUCCUUGAUCAAUAUCGCAUUUGUUAGUCAUUUUAUGCAUCGAAAUACAUCGCCAAUAGAACUUUAUUUUGAAAAAUAAGUUGGCGAUAAAAUAAAUGUUGCAUCCAUUCUAAAUAAUUUAAAUAGUUUGGUGUCCUUGUUCGUUCAUGAAUCCUAAUUCGUCGUGUUUUAAUUUGGAUCAUGUUAUUGUAUUUUGUUCUAGUUGAGUUGUGUUACUAUUGAUAUGCUUGCUGUAGACCAAGGAAAGUCUAUAUAUGCAGCAGGUUAUGUGAUGAAUUUGAGUGUGAUCAUUAAAGUUGCCAUGGUUGAUAUCUUCAAACAAAAUAUUUAAUAAGAGUCCUUAGAUUUAUUAUUCACCAAAAUAAAGUCCUUAGAUUUAUUCAAAGCACUCUUGAGUAAUCUUGUUAGGGAACAUGUGAUGAGAGGAACGAGCAAAAAUAAUAUCAAUUGAAAUAGAGACAUUCAUUAUAAGAAAACUAUAUAACUAACAAGCAAGCUAGUACGGUUUUCUUCAUAACCAACCCAACACACCUAACAAGGAAGUGGUUGUAACCUCUACUUUAGAAAUAAGUGAAAUGAAGUGUGUGUGUGUGUUAAUUUACCGAUACAGGUAAAUAUAGAUAUAUAAGAAAUGAGUGAGCUUUUGUGACGAAAAUAAUCUUAGGUUUAAGACUUAAGAAAUAUGAUUUGAUGAGUGUAGAAAAAUAUGUUGAAACUUAAUCAAGAAGUAAUUGUAAAAUUUGAAUUUGUUGCAUCUCCCUAGGUGAAUAUAAUUUGAUGUGUAUGGUUUAAGUACAAAUCAUUGUAAAGUGUAGCAUUAAGGUGUACUUUAGAAAGUACCACUACUUGAAAAAUAUGUUUCUACAUCGGUUUUAUGGCACAUUAAAAGUCGAUUAUAGAGCCAACAAUGUGAAAAGUCAAAUUUUUUUAUGACGAUUCUUAAAAAAUCAUCUUAAAAAAAGUUGUACAUUCUAAGACGGUUCUCAAAAAAAUAAUCGUCUUAGAAUGAUUACAUUCUAAAAUGGUUUGUCAAAUAAUUGUGUUAGAAUAUAAUUUUUUUAUAAAUAAAAUUAAAAUAAGUAUAAGAUUCUAAGACGGUUUUUUAGAGAACCGUCUUAAAAUGUUUUUCAAACAAAAAAUGAAAUGAUUUUAAAAUUCAAAAACAAUUUUCUAAGAUAGUUAUUCUGAGAACCGUCUUAGAAUAUUUUUUUGUAUAAGAAAAUUAAAAAUCCAUACAGCUUAUUCAAUUCCUCUUUUCAUUUCACUACACACAGACGAUUAUUUGGGACUGUCUUAGAAUAUGACACGAUGAUAAACUUGUAAUUAAAAUACCCAAAAAUUGUUUUUUACAACUCACAUUAAUAUACAUUAGUGGUAAUUUUGUAAUUAUUAACAAAACAACAACCACACUUUUAAGAGAAAACCGCCUUCGUUCUCCACUGGGCGGACAGGUCAGGACCUUUGAUAUUCUUUGUUUCUCAGGAAAAUUGAUCUCACCCUAGUAGGAGCCAAUAAAAAUUUCGAACCCGUGAACUCUUUUUCUUACUAGAAAUGCAAUUUCUCUCUCUCGACGAGGGGGAUAAAGAGAGUGACAAUAUCGAACAGUGAGGGAAAGGGAUUGGCAAAAAUGACGGUAGUGGCGGCCGGCUCUGAUUGCCGGAUAUCGGCUCCGACGGUGUUUCCGGUGGUGCUGGUGUUGGUGCUCGGGAUUGUGCUGCCAUUUCUGUUCGUGAGGAUCACGAUCUUGAUUCUGGAAUCUGCUGCGGCGUGUUCCUCAUUGGGUAAUCUAUUCCUCCAACUUUUCACUUUCCUAACUUAUCUUUCUUAUUUUGUGUUCAUUUUCUUCUUUUCCUUUCACUUUCACAACAAUCUCACACUCUCAUCACACUCCAUUUACUUAAUUUUUUUCAGUUUAGUAAACGCGAAACUUUGCUUUUUCAAGUUUACUUGAACAUUCGUGAUUGAAUGAUGCGACUUUACUGUUUUUAAUUCUUUUUAGUUUUUGCUCUUAAAAGAAAAAGAAUAACCUGAGAAGAGAGAGCGAAUAUCAUUUAUGAAACGUGAUGUUUGAUUAUUAAGUUUAUCAGCUUAAUGGAGAAUUUGAGGUUAUAUUCCCUCAGUUUGAAUAAUAAGAUUAUAAGAGCAAAUUAACAAAAUUUGUAAACAUCGUUUGUUUGGCAGAUACGUGCUAAAUAAGCUUUCAAGUGAUUGGUUAUUCCACACACAGUAUAUUCUUUACUCUCCCUUUUUUUGUUUAUUUAUCCUUUGCAAAGCAUAAACUGUUUUCUCAUAAUUUUGGCAGUAUAUACAUGUUUAAAUGAUUUUCUCCCCAUGAAAUUAAUUGGAUUUUUUGUGUUUUGCUUUAUACUGAUUCUCAGGAAGGGUCUUACUUUACCACCAAGUACCACAGUACGUGCUUCACUUACAGGUUGCGACUUACUUUUAUGCUAGAACUUGUCCUUUUUGUUUUGAAAUAGACAAAUAUAGUAACUUAUGUUUUUUACUUUAUUUGCAAGUAGAUGUGAAACCUGGUGUGUCCUUGGAGGAAAAAAAACUACCCAAAGGAGAAACUUGGUCUGUUCACAAAUUUGGUGGAACCUGUGUGGGAACCUCUCAAAGAAUAAAAAAUGUUGCUGACAUAAUUCUUAAGGAUGAUUCGGGGAGAAAAUUGGUGGUUGUCUCUGCAAUGUCAAAGGUGAAAAAUAUGAUGUAUGACCUUAUCCACAAGGCUCAAUCACGCGAUGAGCUUAUAUAGCUGCAUUGGAUUCUGUUUAGGAGAAGCACAAUGCAACUGCACAUGACAUACUUGAUGGACAUAAUCUUGCUAGUUUCUUGUCUAAAUUGCAUCAUGAUAUUAGUAACCUUAAGGCAAUGCUUCUCUUUGAUACUCUGUUCUGUUUUCUCUUGUUCAGUUAUAUCUAUUUCUUUUGUAAAUCGUCAUUUGAACCUAGGAUGUUAUCUUCAAGUUGUCAUUGUUUAUUAUAAGUUGACAUUUAUGGCUUUCACUUUCUGGUGUUGUUUUCACAUUGUAAUGGUAUUGAUGUUGAUCUAUAUUGCAUUAGCUAUGUCUUGGUUGCUAUUUUAUAGUAUUGAUCAUUGCUUAUGUCUUGGACACUAUUGUAUGACCAUAAUAAUAAUAUUAUGGUAAGAAUAUUAAAUGCACAGUUCUACUCUACUUUUCUACAACUUCCAAAAAAGGUCUGUCAUUUCAAAGGAUUGGAGUUCUGAUAUUUAGUUGGGGAGCCUUUCAUGUUCAGUUUGAUUUUUGUUUUUUUUCUGUAAUGUAACUAAUCAUUACCAAUGCUUUGGAUGACAGUGUUGGAGCGUAGCAUCAAUACACUUUUUCUCACUGAAAUGGUUUGAGGUUUAAUGCUGACACUGAAACACUUCUUCGAAACAAAAGUUACAGCAAGUGUCUUCUAAAACUUGUUGCUGGCCAAGAUUAUUGCAACUUCUUUUUAAAUGCAUGAUUUUUAAUGCAGAUUAACAAUCCUUUUGAGAAAGGCCCUUUGAGCCCCCGUUUCUAUGGUGAACAUGCACUCCGAUGACAUCCAAUAGGGGAGGAACGUUGCAUUGCUUGCAAACUUUGUGAAGCUGUAAGUCUUUGAUUGUUUAUCCUAUAGUUUUGGUUUAACGAUCAUUGAGACCAUGCAUUCUACCCAGCAUUGUCUAUCCAACAGGGGAGGAAUGUUGCAUUGUUUAUUUACUUUGAAUUUUUUUCUUUAUUACUGUACACUAGUACUGCUUCAACAUUAUACCUGUAAUGUGGGACAAACAUAUUAAGCUAGUAGAGAGUAGGGAUAGAAGCUCAUGUACAUAUUAAUUUAUAGGAGGCCAAAGCAUCUAGUAGUCCCUAAACAAUGAAAUUACAAUAUUUUUUUAAAAUGAAAUAUUAACCUAAAAAUUUAAGUUUAACAUUACGGAUAAGGUUAAUAGUUUUUUUGUAAGAUGAUUAUUAAUUAUUAAUAUGAUUAAUAUGAUACGUUUUUUUAAGAUGAUUUUAUUAAUUAAUUUUUCAUCAUUGAUUUUUUUGUGUUACUACAAAACCUUUAAUAUGGUUCUAUUAUAUUGAUGCAAAGUUUUAAUAGAAUUAUUUUAUUUUUUAAUGUGGAUAAUGAAGUUUCAUAAAUUAGUGCUUGUGAAUUGAGGAACGGUGUUGAACGGUCCAACGAUAACAAGAAUACAAGAUCGAAUGCAAGUAUUAUAUAUGCACGAUGAAUGAAAAUGAAAAAAAAUAUAUUAAAUUGUAAAUAAAAAAAAGUAUCUAAGUCAUAGAUUAAUCAUUGUUGCACUUGCUUCAACACUAGGUAUGGUAUUGAUGCCAUGUGGUAUUAAAGUACCAGAUCCAAAGUUUUGCUUCAACACUAGGAAUGAUUAAGUGAAAACCUCAGUAAAUUUUGUCUUCUAUCAGAAGAAAAAUUGUUAUUCAUUUUUCAAAGAGAUAAGGACGUUAUUCGAAUUUCAAUUACCUAGUACAAUUUGUAUUUUGAUAUAUUCGUUUUUAUUGAUAUACUUUUGCUUUAUUUGGUGGCAGAAAAUGUAUACUUCUAUUUUGUAGACACAACUCCUUUUGUUGAUAAAUACUUCAUUGAGAAUAAAGGCCAUAGCUACGAUUGGAGAGGCAUACUACCCAGGAAGCGUUACAUUUCUAACCUUCUCAAGUUAAUUUUAUUAUGAAUUCAAAAAUAAUAAUUAGUAUAUAUAAUUUCAUAGCAAAACAUUUAAAUGUCAAGAAAGAUAAGCCCUCCUAUAUUUGAUAUCCUUUCUUAUCAUAUGUAGUUGUAGAUAAUUCUAGAUAUAUAUUUUUCGGUCGAAUGGGAACUUAUUUCUUCACAAGAAAAUGAAAAUGGCAAAAUAUAUAUUAGAUCGUGAUUAAAAAUAGUUUUAUGAUUUAAUUAUCAGUAGAAGUCAAACUUCUUUCUAAAGGCAUAAAGACAUAUGUCUGAAACCAAGCAACAAUAAAUGCCACGCAUGCACAUAUGCAUUUUGCAUCUUUGAUAUCCAAAACUUGAACGAGACAUUGUAAUACAGGGCAGUUUAGCCUAUGCGUUAAACUGUGUUUUUUUAAUUUUUUUUAUUAAUUAGUUUGAUGUUAUCAAUUUUUUAAAUAUAUGAGAAUUUUUAAAAAAAUCACAAUUUUUUUUUACAUAUGAAAUUGUUUUAAUAGAUUUUUUAAUGAAGUGAUUACUUGAUGACAAAAAUUAAAAUAAAAAAAUAAAAAAAUAAAAAUUAAAACAAAAACCUUUAAAAAUAGCUAAAAUAAAAACAAAAACUCUUAUUUAUAGGACCAAAACGUUACUUAAGAGAAAAAAAGAUAUAUAACAGACGUACUAAUAAAAAAAAAUUUGCUCUGCCAGACGUACUAAUAGUAUAUUAAUGAAGAUUUUAUAUAAACUAACAUAAAUGCAAAGGCACAGUCUGAACCAUGUUUCACUCCUCUCUACCAAACAUACAACAACGAAAUCCAUAGUUCUACUAAUUAUGGAUUUUAAAUAAACUAAUUAUGGAUUUUGUUGUAGUACUCUUGAAUGAAAAAUUGUGUCUGCUUCUAAACUGAAAGGUCUUUCUAGAAAUUUGAUUAAAGCAAUAUAUGAAUGCAUUUUGGAAAUGGGAUUAUUUUUUGUGUUUAGUAUAUAGGUGAUCUUGUUAGAUGUUUAUUCACUACUACAAAAAUUCGAUUUAACAUCGAGAGAUUAAUAUCAAUUUUUGACAAAAUCGAUGUUAACAUAAAUGCAGUGGCAUAAUGGUAAAUAAUGUGUUUCUGUUAAUAUCGGUUUUCUUAAAAUUUGAUGUUAACGAAGUGACGUUUACAUCGGUUCUUGUAAAACCUAUGUUAACAUUAAUUUGUUAACAUCGGUUUUUCCAAAACCGAUGUUAAUAUCUCUUCGUUAACAUCGGGUUUGAAGAAAACCGAUGUUAACCUAUGUUCGUUAACAUCGAUUUUCUGAAAAUCGAUGUUAACGUAUGACCAGUUAACAUUGGUUUCUUGAAGAAAACCGAUGUUAACGUUAACAUCAUUCUGUUAACAUCGGUUUUGUAUUGAAAACCAAUGUUGGACUUACAUUUUAAAUUAUAUCAUACGCGACCUAUUUUGCUCGCGCUCUCUUCUUCUCCAUGUAACCUCUCUUGUUCUGCAUCUAAGCUUGUUGUUCUCCAUCGCGCUAAAGACCGUGACAACUCACUUUUUGUUGUCCAUCGCCAACUUACCUAGGUACAUUUCGUCUAAACUUCAUGUCUUCAUUGUAACUUACCCAUGUUGUUAUAUUGAAAACCUAAGUCUGUUUCAGGAACUCGAGGUUAACCCAAGGACCUUUUUCAGUUUCUACUGCAAGGAUUAGGGAACUCAUGGUGACCUGAGGUAUGACGUAAGCUUCAUGUCUCCGUGCCAUUGUCAUUGAUCUCACUGCCAGUCUCGCUGCCAUUGUCACUGUCGGGUUCGAGGUAAGCUUCAUGUCUUCAUUGUAACUUUGUGCCUCCGUGUACGUGCUAAAUUUGAGAAGCAAUGUUGCCUUUUUCCAACUCAUGAGGGAUACAUAGACAAUAUAUUUAGAAAUGUUGCAGUAGUUUUGUUUAUUUCACUGGCUCAAUUUUAAUUCAAAUAAAUUUCUUUAGUACCAAAUUACUACGCUUUUUUCCAUAUGCUUCAAGCAAACAUAUACACCAACUUCUUUUUAUCGAUUUAACUUUGGAAACAAAUGUUCUCAUUUGAAAUAAUCAACAAAAAAUACCUAUGUGUACAACUGUAUAUUUUGCCAAUAUAAGUUGUCAUUGUUUUUCUUCAUCAAGAACUUAGUAUAAAUUCCAGUUAAUGUUGUUUGAUUUAUAGUUUUCAGUCAUUGAUUGAUGACUUUGAUUUACAAGGUUGCUUCAGGAGCUCGGGUUAUAAUCCAAUCUAAACUAUAUUGAGACAGAACAAGUAACAACUCUUAAAAUAUUUUUGUUUUAGAGGUUGGACAGCUACCAAAACUGCUAGUUUUUAUCUUUUGUUUGAAUGAAACAUGAUGAUGGUAUAUAUUUAUGUAGGUCCUUGAUGAUGGUAUAUAUUUAUGUAGGUCCAUGUGAUAUAUUUAUGUAGAAUAAUUUUAUUUUUUUUGCAUGUAUUGCCUAGGAUUAUUUGCUAUCAAGAUGCCAAAAGUUUUGACACUAGUUAAUUAAUUUCAAUUUUACCUUAACACUUAACUCUUUAUUGUACAAAUUUUUGUAUGAAGAGAUAUAUUCUUUAUGUAGGUCCAUGUGAUAUAUUCUUUCUCUUUAUCUCUCUUCAUAACAUUGUGGCCAUCUUAUUACAUACUUCCCAGUCUUCUCAUCCUAUCUCACUCUUUAUUGUACAAAUUUUUGUAUGAAGAGAUUUUAUGAAUACAAUUUCUCAAAGCAAUAAUGAUAAGAAAGUACUCAAAAUUGGAUUUCAGUGCAGGUUGAGAUUGUCACGUUAUUUGAUGAUGAUAGAAUGAGUGGCUUCUUCAAAUUUUAUGGUUCUGAACCAAUUGAGGCAUAUAUACGAAAAAGAAUCCACACACACUUGCACAAAUAAAAAGAACAAAAAAUCCACAGCAACAACCUUAUCUCUGUAGUCGUCAACACCAAUGGGCGAGAUCUGCAUAACAAUUCUCUUUUCCUCUUUUUUUUUCUUCAAUUACCAUCAAUGUAUCAUUCUGGGUUCUGAUUUUUUUUUUGAAUAGGAAGAGAAAAAACCAGAGGAAAAAAAAGUGGAGGAGAAAAAAGCAAAUGAAGAAGAAAAGAAAGAAAAAGAGAAAAAACCAGAGGAAUCAAAAGAUGACAAGGAAUCCAAGGAGGAAUUUGCACCGCCAGAAAUCGUGCAAGGCACAACCUUUGCAAUGCAUGGACACUUUAAGCAUGAUUUUUGGCAUCUUUUAAGUUAGGGACUAUUUUGCAACAAUUAUGCAAAAGAUAUGGACUAUUUUGAAUUUUUCAUUAAAUUAGGGACUAAUAUACAACAGGGGUACAAAGUCAGAGACUAAAUUGUCUAUUUACUCGUUUUGUUAUCAUUAAAUGACGUGACAUCUUUUAGGAGACACGUCCGCGUGCCAUGCCACGCCAUCUUUUAGUGUCAUGUUGGAUAGUCCACGUGACACUAAAAUUGACCUCACUAACGGCGUUACUUUAAAAUUUAAUGAAAGAAUUAUUUUGCAACACUUAUGCAAAGAUAGGGACUAUUUUGAAUUUAAUAUUAAGUUAUGGACUAAUAUGCAAAACGGGUACAAUCUCAGAGACUAAAUUGUCUAUUCACUCAUUUAUUAGUAUUUAUUCAAUAAUAUAGCUGAAUAUAAUAUAUACUGCCUGGAUUGAGUUGGUUUUGGCCUGAAUUGGUUUUUUUUUUAAUUUACAAGUUUGAGUUCAUUUAAUAAAUAAACAAAAUAUUAAAAAAAAAUAUUCAUUCUCCCCAAAAUUGAUGUUGCAAGUACUAUACAAUAUCAGUUAUGCCAAAAUCGAUGUCGUAUAGCACAACAUCGGUUUUUCUAAAAAACCGUUGUUGUAAGUACUAUACAACAUUGGUUUUGGUAGAAGUGAUGUUUUAUGAUUUUUUUUUAUUAUUUGCUACUACUAUACCACAUCGAUUUUGGGAAUAAUCGAUGUUGUAUAGUAAAUUUCAACAUCGAUUUUUAUAACCAGUAUUAAAAAUAACCUACUUUUAAUGAUGUUUGUUUCAACAUUUAUUUAAAACUGAUGUUGAAUGUUCAAAAUAACCGAUUUGAAAAACAUUAUUUCUAGUAGUGUGUAGUGUGUAUAGGUUAUUUCUUUAUUAGUACUUUACCCUUUUUUUAGAAAUGCAUUAUUGUUCCUUACAUUAAAGUAUAUUAUUUUAGUUUAAUUGUGCAUGGUUUAUUAAUGAUUGAAGUUUUGCAUAACAAAUUUAACACCUCAUUAACCAUCCUAACUUGCUUAGUUGAGGCCUUAACAAAUAAGAGGCAAUCACAUGCAAAAAAGAGGUGAGAAAUAGAGGGCCCAAUCCUAGAAUUUUUACAAGUUGCCAAUCACCUGAAUCAACUUUUUCCUGGAUCAAAAUAGCAAGUUUUUCCGUACACAACAAAAACAAAUAGAGAGACAUAGGAUCACCCUAACCCAUACCUCUGUGAGGAAUAAAACUAUCAAGCUAAAGCAGAAUUAUUCCAUUUAAGAGCAUAAAAGAUAGAUGAGGUGCAAUUUAGAAUCAAUUCGAUAAUCCAAUUUUUAUUCUUCUUUUAUCAUUUGUAACUUUUUACAUUCAUUUAAAGAACAUAUAGAAGCAAAAAUAAAUUCUUGGGGAAGCAAUUGAACCCAUACAAUUCAACAUGGAUCGAUUUCGUAAGUUCUAUAAAUUGCAAAUUAUACAAAGCCAAGAAAGUGGAUUUAACUAUGAGCGAAGUUGAAGUAUCCUCCAACCAAAUCCAACGAUCAUUCCCUUGACUUCCCACUUUCAUAUUUUUGAUAAUGCAAGAAGAUAAAUCAUUCCGUGCAAUAAACGCCUCCAUGGUAUUAAUUUGUUGGAGAUAAAAUAUCAUAUGGGUCACAAAAAAAUAUAGCAAUUUCACAUUAGUCUGUGAAAGUAAGAAAAUUCAAAAAUAUCCUUGAAAGUGUAAUCCAUUAACCAAUUUAGUCCAAAGUUCAAAAGCCAACUUGCAUUUAAGUUGAAUAGAGUAUUCAAGUUGACGGUUCAAAUAGAGGCAUCGGUCUUAGUUCUCCUAUUCCUUUUCCAGCACGUCCUCAAAGAAUUUCUACUGGAAGAGAAUUAUUCUACCAGUCAUUAAUCUUUCUAGCAAAAAUGUGUUCAAAAUGCACUCUUGUGCUCUAGUUUAUUUGUCAACCAUGAUUUCCUUAAUCUUGGGCUUUAUAUGAUUGAAAACUCAACAUCAAAGAGUUGUAGGUUUAAAAUUCAAAUGUCUGGUUCCAACAUAUUAUUAAACUAUUAGAAGUUUUGACUGUGUUACAUUGUGCAAUAUUUCUAUAGGUAAUUUGUUAUGCACAAAAUCUUGACUCUCUCUUCAUCAUGUAGGAGAUGGUCUUUCAAUCUUGAGGGCAUAACUUAAAAGUCAAAAGAAUCAAGUUAAACAUUUGAAAAAAGAAAGUCACUAUGGUCUAGAAGUUUGGAGGAGGUAACUUUAGAUUAUUACUGUACAGUAAUGAUUAUAAUAUCUUAUUCUCGUCUACUGGACAUGUUUUAUCCUUUCAUUACAUUCUAUCCAUGUAUAAUGCAAUAACAAGUACAAAGACUCUAAAUUUUUUUAUUGAUAGAGGUGUGUUCUUUUUGAGCAUAACAUACAUGGAAAUUUGAGAAAAGUAUAAUAUAAUUCAUAAUCUAAUGGAUCACAAGCAAUGUAUAUGAAAUUAUUAUUAUUAGCAAUUUUAUCCUGAUAUUAAUAUAAUUAUUAGCUCUAUUAUUAUUAUUUCAGAAUAUAUGAAAUUGAAAUGACAUAUGACUAGGAUAGAAAUCUGAGAUUGAUUGAAAGCAAUGUAUAUGAAGUUUUUAAUUUUCUUUUUUUAAAAAAACACAUUCUAAGAUGGUUCUCUAAAAAAUCGUCUUAGAAUGUUACAUUCUAAGACAAUUUUUUGGGAAAACCAUUUUAGAAUCCUCAAUAUUUUUAAUUUUUUUUAAAAAAUCAUACAUUCUAAGACAAUUCUCUGAAAAAAUUUCUUAGAAUGUCUAUCAUUUUAAGAUGGUUUUUACCUAAGAACCAUCUUUAAAAUGUUUUAUUCUAAGACAGUUUUGAGCUAAAAAUCGUGUUAGAAAGAUAGCAUUUUUUAAGAUGAUUUUUAUGGGUUGGCUACAACGACGGUUAAUAACUAAUGGCGUAGACAACUUUUAACCGACAUAGAAUGACUUUAUUCUAGCAGUAUAGGGGAUUCGAAAGUUCCUAAGUUAUACUAACUAUGGAGAGCAGUUUUCCAGAAUAAUAUUGUUGGAGAGCAGUUUUAUAUAAUUUCAUAAUUUAACUCACAUUCUUGAUUAUUAACAUUUAAAUUUUUGUAUUUCUUUAAGAUAAAAAAAAUCUCAUGAAACUUUGUUAUAACAUACUUAGUUGAUGUUAUGUAUUCCACUACUCACUUGGACAAAACAUUAUACCUAUAUUACCUAGUUAACUUAUAAAUGUGAAUCAUUUGAUUUAAUUUCAAGAAAAUAACUUUAAGGAAUGGAGGUAAUUGGUGACAGAAAUUAAGUGUUUCACGAAAGUUGACAAUGACUUUAGGUUUAGGACCAUGCGUUAUUGUGUCACGUUUGAAACUAUCAUUGAAAUGAGGUUAAUACUGAUUCAUGUUGCCAAUGUCAUUUGUAGAUUUGGAUUAAUAAAUUACUUUAGAACCAAAAAAGAAUGAAUAAAUUGCUAAUAGUUUUGAAGUUAGUUAUGAUUUCUUUGUGUUUGCUAUGUGACUAAUAUAAUAUAGAACAUAUGCAUUAUUGCCUUCAUGUACUUUUUAUUUUGUGUAUAACCUAUUUCAAUUUUGAUGAUUGAAUGACGUUUCCUGCUUGUAAUAUAAUAGGUGACAAUGAAAAAAAAGUUAAAAAAAGUCACAUUCAAAGACGGUUAUCUCACAAAAAUUGUCUUAGAAUGUGACACAUUUUAAGAUGGUUUUAGCGAGAUAACUGUCUUUAAAUGUAACCCCUUCUAAGACGAUUUUGCCGCCAAAACCGUUUUAGAAUUGGCACGAAAAUCAUCUUUGAAUGUAACCCCUUCUAAAACGGGUGGUGAACCAUCAUCAUAUAUUCUACAAUGUUGCCUACGACGACGGUUAAUAAGCAACGCUGAAUGUGUAAAUUAACUAACUUAGAAUAACCUUUCUUUAGUAGUGCGACUUUUCCGAUUAGAAAUCUCUGUCGAAAAUCUUGUUGACCACCUUUAAUGGGAUCUUCCCUUUUAAUCAGAUUUUUUUACAUUUAUAAGAUUUAAAUCUGAGACCUUACUUAAAGAAAUUGAAUUCGGUACUACUCAGAUCAACAAUUUGUUAGUAUAUAUUGUUGACUGGAUGUCAUUUGAGGCCUACAUGAAUUAUUCAAAAUUGUAAUGGCAAAAAGAUAUAACUAUGAAGAAUGAAGGUGAUUUUCGGGGGCUUUACAUGUGAUAUAUAUCGGCCGGUUGACAGGAGUGUGGACACUUCAUCAUAUUUCAUUUAACGAGUUAUCUUGGAUUUAAUGAGAUGGGAUAUGUUUAGAUAAUGGUAAUUACAUUUUAGGAGAUGUAAGUGGAUGAUUUAUAGUUGUUAUUGCUCAUGUCCUCAAUCUUAUUGUAUGAUUGACACUUUUGUAUAUUGUAAGAUUUGGGAUCUGAAUAUUGAGGUUCUGUUUUGAGUAUAUGAAUGAUAGAUUUUGUAAAGAAAAUAUUUGAUAGACACUUAAUAUAUUAUUCAAUACUUAAAAAGAGUAAAAUAAAUUAUAAAUAUAAUAAAAUUUAUAAUAUGAUGAUAAAAAGAAAGAAAUAAAAAAAUAAGAAGUUUUUAGUGAAAUAUUUAAAAUAACGAAUAAUUUAUGUAUCAUAAAUUACUUAUUUUGUACCGUGGGAACAUGAUGGAUGGUUACUUUAGGCUAUAAUUCUUGUAUACUAACACACAUCUAGCUUGUGAUGUUCUUUAUUUAUAAUUAUAUAUAUAAGCAAUAUAAUAUGAUAUUUUGGUAUACAUAUUUUUAUGUUUAUUUUAUCUCUUUAAUUACAUUCAUAAAUUAUUAUUUUAUACUUGUAACUACUCUCACAAACCCCUCAUUAACCUUUAUUAUUAUUUUUUAUUUAAAAAAAUGAAAAAAGCAGUUAGACACGAAUUGUCUGUUUUUCCUAGUAAUAAUAUUAACAAUUUUAUGUUUGCAGACAAAAAAGAAACCAUGUUUAUGUAUCUGCGUUUCCCACGUCUAACAAUAAUUUAUACAAUAUGAUUAUAUGCACCAUGUUAAUAUUAUAAUAUAUAUAUAUAUAUAUAUAUAUAUAUAUAUAUAUAUAUAUAUAUAUAUAUAUAUAUAUAUAUAUAUAUAUAUAUAUAAUUAUCCGCAACGCCAACGAGUAAUAUAUAAUACUAAUAUUUCUAAAUUAUUAUUUAUUUUCACUAUGCACCGUGCUAAUAUAUAUAGAGACUGACUGAUUUUUUUUAAUAAAAGGAAUGGGAUUUAUUAUUUAAUUAUCAUCCAACUAAUUUUUUUUUUCAUAUUGAACAAACUAUUUUGAGGCAGGAUUCAUCCUGAAAUCUUGGGGUUCAGAUAAAAUAAUAAUAAAAAUGUCCACAUAUAAAUAUUUUACAAAUAUAUAUAUAUAUAUAUAUAUAUAUAUUUUAUAUUAUAAAAAAAUAGAUUUAUAAUUUGAGUAAAAUAAUGAGGAAUGUUAGAGAUAUUUUCUCAUAUAUUUUUUUUAUUAUUAUAUGAUAUCGGUAGAGAAUAUUCACCAAUUUUGUUAAUAAUGAUCACUCUCCACUCAAAAAUUUAAUUGGUUAUUUUUAGUGAAGUUUUUAUUUUAAUAAUUAUUUUUUCAUCGAUAAUUAUUAAACUUAAAACUUUACUUAAGAACAUCUAACUUAAUUUCACACAUACGAAUGUUUUGUUAAUAAACAUUUUCCUUUUAUUACUUUAUACUUGAUUGUAAUUUAUUAAAAAUUAUUUAUUUUAAUAAAUCUCAUUUUUAAAUAGGUAAUUUUUAAUUAAUUUCAACCAAUCAUAAUAAAUAGUGUCAGCAAAAGAACAUGCUAACAUUUUUUUUUAAUGAUACCGAUCUAUCAUAAUAUUUAUUAUUCACAUGUUACUAUCUAUCAAUUAGUUUACACCUGCAAGAAAAUUAUUCACACAAAUAUUUAUAUAUAAAGACACCCCAAAAAAACAAAUAUACAUAAUAUGUAUAUAUUUCUCCUCUCCGCUUCAUGUUUUUCUUCCCACCGAAGAUGAUAUACCUCUCUAAAAAACUAUACAACCAUCAUUUUUAAAUAUUUUUAAGUUCUCUCAAAGGUUUUUAUAAAUGUUUUUUUAAUAAAAUUAAAGAAAUAUUAUUUCAUUGGUUGAAACAGAUGAGUGGAUUGGGUUAAGAAGCAAAAGAAUUCGCUAUCGCUGGGACAGUUUUUGUUUGACAGCACAGCACUCGGAAAUUUCUGGCGAUCUCUGCGUUUUCCCCUAUUUUUUCUGAAUCUAACAACAAACAUUCCUCUGGUGCGCAUUUCUCUUCUUCCCUUUCCGAUCUAUUAUGCAUGCAUGCUAUUCCAUUCCAAUUCCACGCCGUUUCUUGCGUCCCUUUUCACUCUUUUCUCUGCUUAUUAUUAUUACUCCCAUUUUCCCCUCCUUCGUUAACCUGCAAAAUUACUAUGAAAACAGUGCACUGCACCUUAACUAGAUUUGGAUCUCCCCUCCUUUUGAAACCGAAUUAAUUGUCUUUUCGCCAUCGGAUACAAAUUUAUUUAUUGUAUCAACUGAAUUUCGAUUCCAUGCUAUGCUGGUUAGCUCUUCUAGGUUUUUUAUCUAAGAAAAAAACAAACAUAAUAUCAACGAUUUCAGAGAAGUUUGAGUAAGGUAAUUAAUCACAGUGGUUGAUAACAAACUGAAUGGUUGAUCUUGUAAUCAAACGAUUUUGAUUACUUGCUUUAGUCUAUAGAGUGAAAUUGUUCACUUUAGAGGAGUUGGAUCCAAAUUUGACUGUGUAAAAUUUGUGAUUCUGUAUUUGGAUGAUCCCUGCUUUCCUUUAAUUUCAUUUUUAAGUUUACUGUCUUAUGAAGCACUGACACCGACAUGGACACCGGACACGACACACAUAUAUAUAUAUAUAUAUAUAUAUAUAUAUAGACACGUGAACACCUAUAAUGUCCAAAAUAUAGAACGUAGUACGGGUGUUGUGUCGGUGUCGGACACGGAUGCUAGUCGGACACCGGACACGACAAAGGGCUGGAGUGUUCGUGCUUCAUAGCUAGUGUCCCUUCUCACUGGUAUUUAUUUGCAAGAUCUUCGAUUGCAACCGGAUUUAAAACUUGGCACGUGUGAAACUGCAACUUAAAACUUGACACAUCUGAAACCUCAAUAUUAAUGGUUGCAGUCUUGCAAACACAGUUUGAAACUGUUUUCGACUUUGCAAAUCAAGCUAAUUGUGAUGGACAAUGUUCUUAUCCCAUAUCCCAAAUCAAAGCAUUUUGAUAUGCCGUUUUGGUGUCGGUGGCUUCCUCCGUAGUUUCGGAUUUUGGCCAGUUGUUCUGUUUUGUGUUAAUUUCAAUAUUCUUCUGUUUUCGUAAAUCAUAAUUUUGUAACCUCUUUACUUGCUUAUUAUUAUAUUUAUACUUUACAAGCUACCAAAAUUUGUGUCUUCUUCAACCUCUCUGUUCUCUAGUAUGAUUGUGAUUGUACCAUGUGAUCGAAAUUUCCUUUCCUGUUCAAUUCUUCAUUUACCUUCUUUUUAUUUAAUCUGGAUGUAAAUUAAAUGUAUAGUGUUUAUUUAAAAUUUUAUCUUAUUCUUAUCUCACCUUAUCACAAUAAUAAAAUAAUUUGGUGAAAGAUUUCAUCACAAUUUAAUGACUUUAUAGUAUUAUUUAAAUAAUAAUGUGCAAAAGCUUUCUGUUAAUAUCUAUUUAAGAUAGAUUGGACAUGCAAAUUCAAACUUUUGAAAUUUAUACUAGUUUUCAUUUUUUAUUUUUUAAAUAUCCUCCUUUAAAUAUAAUUCUAUUCGAAAUAGAUCUUUUAACAAUAAUUCGAAUAUUAUUAAGUCACCAUGUUAUGACGGUAGUUUUAAUUUAACUAUUUAAAUAAAUUCACAAUUGGCAUUUCCCAAUCGUGGUGGUAGGAUCAAUUGUGGCCAAAACGGCAUAUCAAAAUCUUAUCCCAUAUCCGAUAAUUUUGGUACAUAAUUGUGUCCAUGAUAUUUUUCUUACGUCCUAUAUAAUUUUGAAAACAAAUGAUCGAUUUGUGUAGCAAUGAUAAGCGCUCUUCGCGGGACCAUGUUAAAAAUUGGUGAACUUAUAUAAUUUUAAAUUAACCCAUACAUUCAUUUUAAACGAAUACAGAAUUUCACGCGUUGAGUAUGUACUUUUUAUUUUUGCCUUUUAAAUUUCCAAAUCAGGGUGGUUUCUCUAGUGUCAAACAAUAAGACAUGGACAGUUAUUUUUUACUUUCCAAAUUCAGAAAUAUAUUUUCCAUGGAAACUAUUUUGAUGUUAAAAUCAAUAAUUUACAUAUCAUUGUUAUCAUCACACUGUUUGUUAACUCUCCCUUUUUACUGUCCCUUCUUUUUUGUCUUUGUUUCUUCACUUCCUUCGAAUUGUUUUUUUCUGACAAGGCAACAAUCAAUACUAUUAAUAAGAGUUCCUUCCUUCACUCUCACCCAAGCCAAAGAAAGGAACAAGAACAAGACCAACAAAGUAACGUGAAAGAGAAAGAGAUGGAGGAAAUUGUUCCAGUGGUGGAUUUCCAGAGGCUUUCAGAGGAAGAGGAGCGCAAGAAGCUGAGAAAAACAUGUGAGAAACCAGGGUGUUUCAGAAUCAUCAACCACUCAAUUCCACUAACACUCAUGGCUGACAUGAAGUCAGUGGUUAAAUACUUGCAUGACCUUCCCACGGAAAUCAAAAUGCGCAACAAACCCUCCUCCGUCCCUGAGAGUGGCUAUAGGGCGGCAUCGCCAACAAGUCCUCUAUACGAGGGCAUGGGA
rnacentral:lncRNA from 1 species